CAAUCUUUGACGCAAUGGCGCUCUCGGGAUAGACCUGGGAGCACGCCUCUCUGAGUAUCGGUUCAACCUUCACUCGUCUGCGUACUUUUAUUAGUAUUGCAAACGGAUAAUGAGAGUCCAAGCUGAAACAGCUUCGUCUCUUGAAAUUGAUGGAGCUUUCAAUCUCCUAGUAACCGUAUCGAUUUAUCGAUACUAGCCUCGAUUUGGCGACUAUUCAACUAGUGACGUGGAUAACAUCACGUAGUGAUACGAAACGUCUCAACUAUUCGAAUUGGUCAUAUCUAUGCCAGAACGUGUUGCGAAAAUGCUAAGAAAUUGUCAAAGCGUUUGAAUUGAUCCCGUACAUUGUGUUGGGUGUAAACCUAUAUACUUGUACGUAUUGACAUUAGAUCUCAGAUGAAGCGAGAAGACCCCCUGAAUUUAAGCAUAUUAAUAAGGGGAGGAAAAGAAACUAACAAGGAUUCCCCCAGUAACGGCGAGUGAAGCGGGAUGAGCUCAAUAUGAAAAUCGUACACCCAGGCGGGUUUACGAAUUGUAGCCUAGAGACGUGUGAUCAGCGAUAGCCCAGGUAUAAGUCCUUUGGAAGAAGGCAUCAGCGAGGGUGAGAAUCCCGUGUUUGACCUGGAGUCUGUCGCGUACGAUGCAUGUUCAUCGAGUCGAGUUGUUUGGGAUUGCAGCUCUAAAUGGGUGGUAGUUUCAUCUAAGCUAAAUAUGGCG
rnacentral:rRNA from 1 species